GUGAAUCAUCAAAUCUUUGGACGCAAAUUGCGCUUCCUGGCAUCCCGGGAAGUAUGCCUGUUUGAGGGUCAGUAUUAACAAAAAAUCGGUUUGGUUGCAAAUUGUGACGUUUCCGGCGUUUGGGCCAUCUUAACUUUUUUGGUUAAGGGGCUUAAAAUUGACCUUUUUUGCGCAUUUUUAGACGUACAUAGUUUUUUUUUUUUUUGGUCUAUUGUAUAUUCCAAAUUCUUAUUAUAUG
rnacentral:misc_RNA from 1 species